rnacentral:rRNA from 1 species
AACGACUCUCGGCAACGGAUAUCUCGGCUCUCGCAUCGAUGAA